rnacentral:misc_RNA from 1 species
CAUGGUUUGGUCAAUUUAGUACUGCUAUUCAACAAUUUGGGAUGCAUCAAAGUGAAGCAAAUCAUUCAGUUUUCUAUCGACAUUCUUCUCAUGGCAAUUGUAUUUAUUUAAUAGUUUAUAUUGAUGAUAUUGUCAUAACAGGCAAUUAUAAUGAUGGCAUUUCUGAACUCAAACAACACUUAUUUAGUCAUUUUCAGACUAAAGAUCUAGGAAAAUUGAAGUGUUUUAUAGAGAUUGAGGUAGCACAGUCCAAAACAGGUAUAGCUAUUUCACAAAGGAAAUAUGCUCUAGAUAUACUUGAAGAAACAGGUAUGAUGGACUGUAAAAAUGUGGAAACUCCUAUGGAUCCAAAUGUUAAACUUGUCCUUGGAUAAGGGGAGCCCUUUGAAGACCCUAGUAGAUAUCGGAGAUUGAUUGAAAAACUAAAUUAUCUCACAAUAACACGGCUAGAUAUUUCAUUGGCCGUAAGUGUAGUUAGUCAAUUUCUCCAAACUGCAUGUAGUAAUCAUGGAGAUGCAGUAACACACAUUCUUAACCAUCAAAGGGGCUCCAGGACAAGGUCUGUUGCAUGAAGAUAAAGGCCACUCACAAGUUGUUUGGGU